rnacentral:rRNA from 1 species
AGGAUGAACGCUGGCGGUCUGCUUAACACAUGCAAGUCGAACGGAGUAGAAAUACUUAGUGGCGGACGGGUGAGUAACGCGUGAGAAUCUACCUUCAGGACGGAGACAACAGUUGGAAACGACUGCUAACCCCCGAUGUACUGAAAAGGCAAAUAUUUAUAGCCUGAAGAAGAGCUCGCGUCCGAUUAGCUAGUUGGUGGGGUAAUGGCUCACCAAGGCAACGAUCGGUAGCC